GUGGAAAAGAACUAUAUCCUAUUAGCCAAUCAGAAAGCAGCUUAGAAAAAUAGGUGCGUAAGUAGCGAACCACAUCAGUUUAUUGUUAAAAAUCAUGGAGGCAGGAUGUGUUUCAUCGAAAAAGAUUAUUCUUCAAUUGCUUGUGUAAUAUCGAAGUAAGCGUGACAAUUAACAAUCAUGAUUUCUAUACAAAUAUGUCGUAAGAAAAAUUCCAAGAUGGAUGCCAUUAUAUU